rnacentral:rRNA from 1 species
GACGAACGCUGGCGGCGUGCUUAACACAUGCAAGUCGAACGGAAAGGCCCUGCUUUUGUGGGGUGCUCGAGUUGCGAACGGGUGAGUAACACGUGAGUAACCUGCCCUUGACUUUGGGAUAACUUCAGGAAACUGGGGCUAAUACCGGAUAGGAGCUCCUGCUGCAUGGUGGGGGUUGGAAAGUUUCGGCGGUUGGGGAUGGACUCGCGGCUUAUCAGCUUGUUGGUGGGGUAGUGGCUUACCAAGGCUUUGACGGGUAGCCGGCCUGAGAGGGUGACCGGCCACAUCGGGACUGAGAUACGGCCCAGACUACUACGGGAGGCAGCAGUGGGGAAUAUUGCACAAUGGGCGGAAGCCUGAUGCAGCAACGCCGCGUGCGGGAUGACGGCCUUCGGGUUGUAAACCGCUUUCGCCUGUGACGAAGCGUGAGUGACGGUAAUGGGUAAAGAAGCACCGGCUAACUACGUG